GGGAGGGAGCGGCCGGAGCCUGGGCUUUGGGGCAAAGACAAGCCGCCCCGCUCCAGGCCGCCCUUCUCUCCUCUCCCCGCCCCGCUCUCCUGCCUCCUCCCUUUCAACGCCGGGCGGUUACAGCCACACCGCGACCCCGAUGUUCCCGGGGGAGCAGUACGCCGAGAUCCUGAGGAGCCUCAACUGCCGCGGGCGAGCAGCGAAACUCGGCCCCGGCCGGUGCCCCGAAAACGGCCCCACCGAUUUCCCCGCCAGCGGAGCCGUGUGUCCUGCCGCCACGCCUCGUGUGUGGCGUGCUGCGCAAGUGUAGCACAAGUCCUCUGUGGAUGGGUGCCAGGCAGGAUUUGUAGGUAAAAAAAUCCCGUGUGAGCAUUUACACCUUCUCUUAAAAUGGCCCAAACUGGACUUCGAUGCUACUAAAUUCUAUAUAUAAUAAACAAGUUUGUGAGGAUUUAAGAUAACAUAGAAAAGAAAAAAAAAUACUAUUAAAUAUAUUCUGAUUUAUGCACAAAGAGCCAGUUAACAUUCAUGAGAGUAUUAAUGAGAAUCGGCUGUAACAGAGUUUGGAUCAGAUCUGUAGUCAUUUACUUUUCAAUGUGUCUAUUGCUAGGUGUAGGGUGACUAUAAGACCCUAGCUGGAGAUGAUCAGCGAUCCUGAAGAAAUUGCAUUUCACAUGUUAGAGACCAUAUGGAAGUGAAAAAGCAUUAUUAAACUGACAGACCUAGCAAUAGGAAUCCAGAAUACUCCCGAGAGCCCUUGGCAGAGGUCAAAUUUUGUUUUACUAAAAUUAGCUCAAGUGUAUGAACCUAAAGCAAAGAAGGAUGUGCAAGUGAAUUAAAUCUGUUACAGUAGACAUAAAACACCUUUCUUGACUUUCAUUAAUAUUUUAAAACUUGCUUUUUGAGAAACUCUAUCCUACCUCAGCCUGCUUCCUCACUUCAUCAUGCAGCAUAGCCUCAUCAUGCUUAUUUUAACAUCACAUUAAUUUCUGCAGUAAUAGAUGAUGAUCUCAUUGCAGGAAGAAGUUGCAGAGAAAAAAGGUUCCCUUGGAACAUCAGUAGUAAAGACAAGAACAAAGUACUGUCUUAGGAACUAUGUUUUUAUUUGAGGCUUAUUCUUACAGAAGGACUUACCUGCUGAUUUUCUGGGGUUUAUGCAGAGACUUCUUAAAAAAAAAAAAAAAGAGUC